UCGUGUCGUGUACGGCAUCAUGGACGAGAGCGAGGUGUUUUCCCUGUAUUGGGCGUGUUUACUAUCAAGGUGAACGUUUAUACACACAGAGGAGAAUCGCUGGUUUGGUGCUGUAGGCGCCUAUGCUAUGGUUUGUGCUGCUGUUUGAAGCGCGCGGCUCGUUCGCAGCGCAGUUUCUCGGGGUUCGCGCAACGGUGCACCCUGCGUCUAGGCGUUGACUAGAGCGUCGAGGUUCCUCAGCGCAUCGCUUCGCGUCGUCGCGGCAAUUCGUUCAGCCGCGCGACACGCUGGUUCCCAAGGACUGACAGCGAGUCGCGACCCCGCAAACGGUCGACGACGCCUCAAGUCGACGCUCGUGGCGUCACUGCAAAGCUUUCCUGACUCUGUGGGGUAACCGCAGCGGCAGCGCACCUGACAGAGCAGCAAGCAUUUUUGGGGUAUGCUCCGCAUCCAGAGGUUCGCUGGAUCGAUUCGGCCUAAUUUGCUUCCAGAAACACCACAAGGGGACCGGGCCACGCAGAAGCGUAUCUGGAGCAAUCAGGGCCUCUUCCCUGGUAUUUCGUUCAGUUGGCGCUUGCGGGACCUCUGGUUACAGAACAUCACUCGUACAUCGUUAGAAUACUGCGUGCACCUCGGGGGCUCUGAGUAAGAUUUCCCUGUUCUGCUUGAAAGAAAUCAAAAUCUUGCGCAGCAUCCUGGGGCCAUUCGCUGUCGCCCCGCCCCGUGUCGCAUGAUGGAUGCAUUAUCCACGAUACUGGAUCAUGGUACAUCGAUAUCGUUCGCCAUUUGACCUGGAAAAUCUUUCCUGGUGUAUAUUCACAGCGCUUCAGCGUCGCAGCGUUACUGGAACGUAUCGUAUGAGUGCCGUGUCCCCGGUGGAUUCCAAUGCCCUUUCGCAUGACCAUUGCAUGUUUCUAUCGCAAGUCUUCCGCAUUUCAGCAAAACGACCAAACUCCGUGGGAAACGAAUCGCCCGAAAGCUCGCUCCUUAUCAAGCUGCUGGACGCUCCGGAAGCAUGACACGAUUCCAUAGGCUGAUAGAGACAUUCCAGUCUCGGUGCGGAGAGCGCGUGGGUUCAUGGUCGCUUGUAGAGUCACACCAUGGCACGCUUGUCACCCUCGAUUGCCUGGUCAACUGACGUUCGCUUAUCUUACAGUGAACCGUCUCAUGCAAGCGGCUUUGUUGCAUUCCGUUUUUAUAUACCUGUUUCAGCGGUAACACAUGCACCCGGUGCCUGUAUGUCAUCUCGAACGCCUCGUUGAGAAGCAUCCAGGAUCGAUAUCUCGAUCUCUCGUUUCACGCUCGUGUCGAACGAGCACGAGUGCAGCCCCUAAGCGCUAAAGCACACCCAGCACCAUAGGCUACGAGCAUCGAGCAACGCUCCGUGUCUGUCAUUUGCUUCCCCAACACAUUGAAGUUGGCGAAUGAGCGCGCCUUGCUUGUAUACGACAGAGAUCAUUGGCAAUGCCUGCACAAUCCCGGAUCAACCUGCCAACUGUCGCCCGCACGAGCGAUUUGGACGCUGAUCCACGGUGAAAAUGAAGCACAGAGUGCAUCCGCCGCUUUUCGGUGCGGUGCUCAGAGCGUCGACAUGGGUCCUGACGCCGUCCCUCUACUGUUCGAUAUACCUCUCGACGCCUAUCAUGAUCGACGCUUGCAAUCACCUGGCCCCGGAAAAGUCGACCAGUGCCAUCUAAUUUCCAUUCAGGCAACUGGCUCAUCCCCUUUUGCUAGAGAGGUGCGUCGACGGUCAUGACGCCCAUCAAUCCGGGAUCCACGUCCACCGCGAAGUCGUUCUCAUUGUCGGCCUGGGACCGUAGAAAAACGAGUCUCAUUGCUUGACGCAGGCCUCGAUUUAACAAAGUGCAUGGAGACAGAUAUUCCGUUGACCUCCAAUGUCUGGGUAAACUUUAUUCCAUUCC
rnacentral:misc_RNA from 1 species